rnacentral:miRNA from 2 species
ACGGUGCUGGAUGUGGCCUU